UGACGGACUUCUGGAGAGAUCUUGAAACGGCUUAUGCUGUAGACAAGACACCGAAGGGGCAAGGGAUAAGACCCGAAACUCUCAGGUAAAAGGACAGAAAGCAUUGA
rfam:Streptococcus thermophilus LMG 18311, complete genome.